rnacentral:rRNA from 1 species
UGUGAACGUUACCAAACUGUUGCCUCGGCGGGGUCACGCCCCGGGUGCGUAAAAGCCCCGGAACCAGGCGCCCGCCGGAGGAACCAACCAAACUCUUUCUGUAGUCCCCUCGCGGACGUAUUUCUUACAGCUCUGAGCAAAAAUUCAAAAUGAAUCAAAACUUUCAACAACGGAUCUCUUGGUUCUGGCAUCGAUGAAGAACGCAGCGAAAUGCGAUAAGUAAUGUGAAUUGCAGAAUUCAGUGAAUCAUCGAAUCUUUGAACGCACAUUGCGCCCGCCAGUAUUCUGGCGGGCAUGCCUGUCCGAGCGUCAUUUCAACCCUCGAACCCCUCCGGGGGAUCGGCGUUGGGGAUCGGGACCCCUCACCGGGUGCCGGCCCUGAAAUACAGUGGCGGUCUCGCCGCAGCCUCUCCUGCGCAGUAGUUUGCACAACUCGCACCGGGAGCGCGGCGCGUCCACGUCCGUAAAACACCCAACUUCUGAAAUGUUGACCUCGGAUCAGGUAGGAAUACCCGCUGAACUUAAGCAUAUCAAUAAGCGGAGGGCA